rnacentral:sRNA from 1 species
CUCAUGGUUGACUGCAGCUGCUGCUCUCGGUGCCCUCACGCCCUCCAGUGUGCGCAGCACACGGGAAGAGUGAAUACUCAGUUCUUCCUCAGGGAACUGCGGCAGAGAAGUGGAGGGCACAGAACUGCCAAGUGGCAGGGCCAUGAUGGGAACUAGGCAGCCUGCCUUGGCGACCUAUGUUUUUAAACGUUGCUUAUAUUCAUCUGUGGCCUCUUACUCACCCUCUCCUGCUCCAUUGCUUUAGGCUAUGAACUCUCCAAAGUGGAAGGGAAAACAGGGACCCCUGAGAAGCCCCUCUCAGACCUUGGCCUCCUAUCCUAUCGAAGCUACUGGUCCCAGACCAUCCUGGAGAUCCUGAUGGGGCUGAAGUCGGAGAGCGGGGAGAGGCCACAGAUCACCAUCAAUGAGAUAAGUGAAAUCACCAGCAUCAAGAAGGAGGAUGUCAUCUCCACUCUGCAGUACCUCAAUCUCAUCAACUACUACAAGGGCCAGUACAUCCUCACACUGUCA